AGUUUUUGCCUCAGGAGCAGAACGGAAGCAUUUCUUCAUAAACCCAUCUCCCAGUAAGAAUGCGCCGACGGCAUAAUUUCAGUAUUUUAAGCUAACUGAAUUCGAACAUUCCCAAAGGCGUCGAAAGGAAAUUUAAAGUGGGAUUGCGGAAUCAUAAUUUUCAAUUGAUAAAGAUAAAAGGAAACUCCACUGCAUUGCACUGCAUUAUGGGAUGUCCAAAGAGAGCAAUCGUCGUUUUAUUGUCGUUCCUGGGUUUCCUCGUCCUUUUUGGCUUCCGGACGGUGUUCACCAUGGUGAUGGUUUACGUCAUCAAAGAUAACGACAACGACGGUGUGACGUUGUUCAAAGAGUGCACAAUAAACGGCACAGAUUACGACCUACAGUUGGAUUGGAGCGUGUCUACGUCACAGUACUUCAACACGGCAUACUUUGUGGGUUACGUCAUCACACAGUUACCAGGGGGAUUCCUAGCCGUCAGGUUCUCUGCUACAAAAAUUUUUGGCGGAUCCAUAUUCAAAAGCGGGUCGUGUUUCGUGACCUUGGCGUUUACAAUGAAGUACAGCCGAAUCAUCGUCUUUGUGAUCAGAUUUAUCCAAGGAUUUGUAGAGGGCGUAUGUCAGCCAGCAAUGAGUUCUAUUGUGUCAGCUUGGGCCCCGAAAUCUGAGCGAGCCAGAAUUGUUGGAUUGUCAUAUUCAGAUUUUAAAAUGACCUGCACCUGCACCACUUGUGUCUUUAUUCACAGGACUUUAUCUGAGCACCUCUCUGGCGUCGGUAGUGACGGGGGCCGCCACCUGUUACGUCAGCUGGCACGCCGGACUCUUCAUUUACGGCAUUCUCGGAAUUAUAUUGUCCCUGGUUUGGUUCGCUGUAGUCUAUGAUAGUCCCGAAAAAAACCCUCAUCUUAGCGAGAAGGAACAAACCAUCUUCGAAAGGGAAGGUUCAAAGAUUAAAAUAGCCUCUGCUGAUGUAGUAAGUUUCACGCGAUGAAAUAGCCAACUAAAAAGGGCAUGUCUUUUUUCGUUUCCAUUCAUUUCUUUCAUGACAUUUGUCCACCAAUUUUCUAAACAGGCCAAAAAUAUACCAUGGAAGAGUAUAUUGACGUCACUUCCUGUGUGGGCAUUACUUCUUACCAAUGUAACAAGGUCUUGGGUUUUUGCUACUAUAGUGAUGGAGAUACCUCAGUAUUUUGCUGACGUUUUCGGACUUAAUGUUGCAACGGUUUGAUUUUUUUUAUUUGCUGGAAAUUUCUGUAUUACAUUUGGAGGAUGUUGUAUAAAAUACAUACUAGUAUCUGUAGGAAAGAUAAUUUCGUCCGCAAUUUUAGAUAGGAUUCUUGACAUCUUUCCCACCCGUUUUGAUGGCUGUGUUUAUUAUAUUUGGCGGGGUCCUUAUGGAUGAACUGAUAAAAAAGGAGAAAAUAUCCACCACUGUUGGUCGGAAACUCUCCAUUUGCAUUGGGUUUGGAUCAGAGGCUGCAAUCAUCAUAGUUCUGGGCUUUGUCAAAAGUUACACAGUAGCAUCUAUUUUGUUGGUCAUAGGAGAAGGUUUUGCGGGUUUUGGAAUUGCAGGAUACAAAGUAAAUCCCGUGGACUUAGCUCCCCAGUACGCAAGCGUUCUUGCGGGGCUGGUAACGUCCGGUGUGUUUGGGGCUAUCGUCAGUACUGCAAUAGCAGGGGCCCUCAGACAGAAGAAUGCUGAAUCUUGGCAAAAGAUUUUGGUUAUCACCGGCUCAGUACAUCUAUUUGCUGUUAUAAUAUACGCCAUUUUUGGAUCGGGAAAACAGCAGGAAUGGGCUCAACCGGCUUAUGAGAAACUAGUGACUGCAAAGAGUGAACGCAAACAAACAACUUAUGAAUCUACCAAUGAACCGUUUCCCGACACAUCGUCACAGAAUGGGUGUGUCGGUCUGCAUAUAUUCAAAUAAUAGAUAAUUAAUGCCAGCAAAAACCAUGAAAAGGGCUAAAUUAACCAAAAAAUUUAUCGGAUGAAUUUUAAUUUUCAUUACAUCUUUUAUGUCGGAUUAGGAACAGGUGUACCGGUCAAAUGAUCACAAUUUGCCCUUUGAUCAGCUUUCAUGUGUUGGACAUAUCAAUUUCUGUAAUAAAUUUUUAUACAGCAG
rnacentral:misc_RNA from 1 species